rnacentral:rRNA from 1 species
UACCGCCUACGGGAGGCAGCAGUGGGGAAUAUUGCACAAUGGGGGAAACCCUGAUGCAGCGACGCCGCGUGAAGGAUGAAGUAUUUCGGUAUGUAAACUUCUAUCAGCAGGGAAGAAAGAAAUGACGGUACCUGACCAAGAAGCCCCGGCUAACUACGUGCCAGCAGCCGCGGUAAUACGUAGGGGGCAAGCGUUAUCCGGAAUUACUGGGUGUAAAGGGAGCGUAGACGGUUAAGUGAGUCUGGAGUGAAAGGCCGGGGCCCAACCCCGG